rnacentral:rRNA from 1 species
UACGUAGGGCGCAAGCGUUGUCCGGAAUUAUUGGGCGUAAAGAGCUCGUAGGCGGCUUGUCACGUCGGGUGUGAAAGCCCGGGGCUUAACCCCGGGUCUGCAUUCGAUACGGGCUAGCUAGAGUGUGGUAGGGGAGAUCGGAAUUCCUGGUGUAGCGGUGAAAUGCGCAGAUAUCAGGAGGAACACCGGUGGCGAAGGCGGGUCUCUGGGCAGUAACUGACGCUGAGGAACGAAAGCGUGGGUAGCAAACAGG